CCUACGGGGGGCAGCAGUGGGGAAUAUUGGGCAAUGGGCGCAAGCCUGACCCAGCAACGCCGCGUGAAGGAAGAAGGCUUUCGGGUUGUAAACUUCUUUUAAGGGGGAAGAGCAGAAGACGGUACCCCUUGAAUAAGCCACGGCUAAAUACGUGCCAGCAGCCGCGGUAAUACGUAGGUGGCAAGCGUUGUCCGGAUUUACUGGGUGUAAAGGGCGUGCAGCAGGGGAGACAAGUCAGAUGUGAAAUCCACGGGCUCAACCCGUGAACUGCAUUUGAAACUGUUUCCCUUGAGUGUCGGAGAGGUAAUCGGAAUUCCUUGUGUAGCGGUGAAAUGCGUAGAUAUAAGGAAGAACACCAGUGGCGAAGGCGGAUUACUGGACGAUAACUGACGGUGAGGCGCGAAAGCGUGGGGAGCAAACAGGAUUAGAUACCCCAGUAGUC
rnacentral:rRNA from 1 species